AUCCGGCUGACAAGUCCCAAAUAGAACUAAACGCAUGUCCUACAU
rnacentral:hammerhead_ribozyme from 1 species